rnacentral:misc_RNA from 3 species
AACUAAAGCAUUAUAUAGAUACAGUUUCUGUACUAUAUUGGUAUGUGAAACUUCCAAGUCUAACUUGGUAAAUUUUAGAGCCGGCCUUCGGGC